GCUCAUGUUACCCACAACUCACCGCGAGAGGGAGGAGUUUAGUGACGCUGCAGUGAAUUAAUACCACGUAAAUAAAAGAUUAAUUUGCUAAAUUAACAAAUUUCAAUACUGCAGACGCCAGCAGACGUCCAUCAGUCACUCGCGGUGAGAAACAAACCCUCUGCUCAGAGUCUCCAGUGGCCGCUGCUGUCUGUAAGAGGAUCCGUUCCAGGCCUAGAUUGUGUUGGAAUGAUUUUAUUUUCCUGGCACCAUGUUUGGAAACGUUUCUUUUGGAAAAGAUGGAUUUCAU